GGUUAAGCGACUAAGCGUACACGGUGGAUGCCCUGGCAGUCAGAGGCGAUGAAGGACGUGCUAAUCUGCGAUAAGCGUCGGUGAGGUGAUAUGAACCGUUAUAACCGGCGAUUUCCGAAUGGGGAAACCCAGUGUGUUUCGACACACUAUCAUUAACUGAAUCCAUAGGUUAAUGAGGCGAACCGGGGGAACUGAAACAUCUAAGUACCCCGAGGAAAAGAAAUCAACCGAGAUUCCCCCAGUAGCGGCGAGCGAACGGGGAGGAGCCCAGAGCCUGAAUCAGUGUGUGUGUUAGUGGAAGCGUCUGGAAAGGCGUGCGAUACAGGGUGACAGCCCCGUACACAAAAAUGCACAUAUUGUGAGCUCGAUGAGUAGGGCGGGACACGUGGUAUCCUGUCUGAAUAUGGGGGGACCAUCCUCCAAGGCUAAAUACUCCUGACUGACCGAUAGUGAACCAGUACCGUGAGGGAAAGGCGAAAAGAACCCCGGCGAGGGGAGUGAAAAAGAACCUGAAACCGUGUACGUACAAGCAGUGGGAGCCUCUUAAUGGGGUGACUGCGUACCUUUUGUAUAAUGGGUCAGCGACUUAUAUUCUGUAGCAAGGUUAACCGAAUAGGGGAGCCGAAGGGAAACCGAGUCUUAACUGGGCGUUAAGUUGCAGGGUAUAGACCCGAAACCCGGUGAUCUAGCCAUGGGCAGGUUGAAGGUUGGGUAACACUAACUGGAGGACCGAACCGACUAAUGUUGAAAAAUUAGCGGAUGACUUGUGGCUGGGGGUGAAAGGCCAAUCAAACCGGGAGAUAGCUGGUUCUCCCCGAAAGCUAUUUAGGUAGCGCCUCGUGAAUUCAUCUCCGGGGGUAGAGCACUGUUUCGGCAAGGGGGUCAUCCCGACUUACCAACCCGAUGCAAACUGCGAAUACCGGAGAAUGUUAUCACGGGAGACACACGGCGGGUGCUAACGUCCGUCGUGAAGAGGGAAACAACCCAGACCGCCAGCUAAGGUCCCAAAGUCAUGGUUAAGUGGGAAACGAUGUGGGAAGGCCCAGACAGCCAGGAUGUUGGCUUAGAAGCAGCCAUCAUUUAA
rnacentral:rRNA from 1 species